AGCAGCCGCGGUAAUUCCAGCUCCAAUAGCGUAUAUUAAAGUUGCUGCAGUUAAAAAGCUCGUAGUUGAAUUUCGGGAUCGAUAUAUCGGUCGUGCCUCAGUACGUACUGGUAUUUUCGGUUUCUCCCUUCUGACGAACCUUGAUGUCAUUAAUUUGGUGUCUUGGGGAAUCAGGACUGUUACUUUGAAAAAAUUUAGAGUGUUUAAAGCAGGCUCACGCUUGAAUACAUUAGCAUGGAAUAAUGAAAUAGGACGUUUGAUUCUAUUUUGUUGGUUUCUAGGAUCGACGUAAUGAUUAAUAGGGAUAGUUGGGGGCAUUAGUAUUCAAUUGUCAGAGGUGAAAUUCUUAGAUUUAUUGAAGACUAACUACUGCGAAAGCAUUUGCCAAGGAUGUUUUCAUUAAUCAAGAACGAAAGUUAGGGGAUCGAAGACGAUCAGAUACCGUCGUAGUCUUAACCAUAAACUAUGCCGACUAGGGAUCGGAUGAUGUUAAUUUUUUAAUGACUCAUUCGGCGCCUUA
rnacentral:rRNA from 1 species